rnacentral:rRNA from 1 species
UACGAAGGGGGGCUAGCGUUGCUCGGAAUUACUGGGCGUAAAGCGCACGUAGGCGGCUUUCUAAGUCGGGGGUGAAAUCCUGGAGCUCAACUCCAGAACUGCCUUCGAUACUGGAGAGCUCGAGUCCGGGAGAGGUGAGUGGAACUGCGAGUGUAGAGGUGAAAUUCGUAGAUAUUCGCAAGAACACCAGUGGCGAAGGCGGCUCACUGGCCCGGUACUGACGCUGAGGUGCGAAAGCGUGGGGAGCAAACAGGAUUGAGAA